UACGUAUGGGGCAAGCGUUAUCCGGAUUUACUGGGUGUAAAGGGGGCGCAGACGGCGAUGCAAGCCAGGAGUGAAAGCCUGGGGCCCAACCCCGGGACUGCUCUUGGAACUGCGUGGCUGGAGUGCAGGAGGGGCAGGCGGAAUUCCUGGUGUAGCGGUGAAAUGCGUAGAUAUCAGGAGGAACACCGGUGGCGAAGGCGGCCUGCUGGACUGCAACUGACGUUGAGGCCCGAAAGCGUGGGGAGCAAACAGG
rnacentral:rRNA from 1 species